GGGAAUAUAACUCAGUGGUAGAGUAUGUGCCUAGCAUGCAAGAGUCCCUAGUUCAAUCUUCAGUACUUCUA
rnacentral:tRNA from 1 species